GUUGUUGUGGCCAAGCGGUUAAGGCGAUGGACUUGAAACCCAUUGGGAAUUUCCCGCAUAGGUUCAAAUCCUGUUGACAAUG